rnacentral:rRNA from 1 species
GAUGAACGCUGGCGGCGUGCCUAAUACAUGCAAGUCGAGCGAACAGACGAGGAGCUUGCUCCUCUGACGUUAGCGGCGGACGGGUGAGUAACACGUGGAUAACCUACCUAUAAGACUGGGAUAACUUCGGGAAACCGGAGCUAAUACCGGAUAAUAUAUUGAACCGCAUGGUUCAAUAGUGAAAGACGGUUUUGCUGUCACUUAUAGAUGGAUCCGCGCCGCAUUAGCUAGUUGGUAAGGUAACGGCUUACCAAGGCAACGAUGCGUAGCCGACCUGAGAGGGUGAUCGGCCACACUGGAACUGGGACACGGUCCAGACUCCUACGGGAGGCAGCAGUAGGGAAUCUUCCGCAAUGGGCGAAAGCUUGACGGAGCAACGCCGUGUGAGUGAUGAAGGUCUUCGGAUCGUAAAACUCUGUUAUUAGGGAAGAACAAAUGUGUAAGUAACUAUGCACGUCUUGACGGUACCUAAUCAGAAAGCCACGGCUAACUACGUG